rnacentral:rRNA from 1 species
AAACGUAGGAGGCGAGCGUUAUCCGGAUUUACUGGGCGUAAAGGGCAAGUAGGCGGUAGCCAAAGUUGGGCGUGACAUCUCCCGGCCCAACUGGGAGGGGUCGUUCAAAACUAGGCUACUAGAGGGCAGGAGAGGGAAGUGGAAUUCCUAGUGUAGCGGUGGAAUGCUCAGAUAUUAGGAGGAACACCAGUGGCGAAGGCGACUUCCUGGCCUGUACCUGACGCUGAGAGGCGAAAGCUAGGGGAGCGAACGGGCUUAGAUACCCCGGUAGUCCUAGCUGUAAACGUUGGAUACUGGGUAUUGGGGGUAUGAAUUCCCUCAGUGCCGAAGCAAACGCGUUAAGUAUCCCGCCUGGAGACUACGGCCGCAAGGUUAAA